rnacentral:piRNA from 1 species
UCCCGAAGGUUAGUCCUCGAUGGUGGAGG